GGGGGUGUAGCUCAAAUGGCAGAGCGAUCGCCUUGCACGCGAUAAGUACUGGGAUCAAUACCCAGCAUCUCCA